CCUACGGGAGGCAGCAGUGAGGAAUAUUGGUCAAUGGGCGCUAGCCUGAACCAGCCAAGUAGCGUGAAGGAUGACUGCCCUACGGGUUGUAAACUUCUUUUAUAAAGGAAUAAAGUGAUGCAUGUAUACCGCUUUGCAUUUACCUUAUGAAUAAGGAUCGGCUAACUCCGUGCCAGCAGCCGCGGUAAUACGGAGGAUCCGAGCUUUAUCCGGAUUUAUUGGGUUUAAAGGGAGCGUAGAUGGGUUGUUAAGUCAGUUGUGAAAGUUUGCGGCUCAACCGUAAAAGUGCAAUUGAUACUGGCAGCCUUGAGUACAGUUGAGGUAGGCGGAAUGCGUGGUGUAGCGGUGAAAUGCUUAGAGAUCACGAAGAACUCCGAUUGCGAAGGCAGCUUACUAAACUGUAACUGACGUGGAGGCUCGAAAGUGUGGGUAUCAAACAGGAUUAGAUACCCGAGUAGUC
rnacentral:rRNA from 1 species